CUGCAGAUAUCUGAGUGAAAUGGGGAAAACAUGAUGGGCAAAUCCUUUGGAGAUAUGCAGAAGUCAUUUGCUUUGGCAAGGUUGGGGUGAGACUUGAGAUUGCAUACUCGGGUUCUAUUUGCAGAAACUCACAUCUUAGUGGAUGAAUCUUGAGUCAAAAAAACAAGUUACUAAGUCUAAGAUAGAUUAUGUAAAUAAAAUACCCGUUUCCUCAGUGACUGACUGAGCCUUUAUUUGAUAAUGUUAUAAUUCACUUUGGAAUGUUUUGAAUCAAAAUCUAAUAUUGCUUUUUCAUUAAUGUCUUAGCUAUGAAUUGGAUAUCACUGGUAGGCCUGUUCGUCCCCAAUUCUGUAUGGGCCGGCCUCCAUGUAUGGCUCCAGCGGGCGGGUUCAUAACAACUGUGGCUGCAAGAUGGGGAAACUGAGGCUCUGAGGAAACGGGAAAAUGGCCAGAGGAAGGGACAGUGAAGAUCUUUUGCCAUAAUGUCACCCUAUAAACAUUUUGAAGGGAUUCCAUUGAUGUAAAGCAUAAAUACAUCCCUGUUGGGAAAGACAGGAGCAGUGUUUUCUGACUAUAAGGAGGGUUUGUUGGAGCUACCGGCGUGUGGAAGCAAUUUCAGGAACAACGUUGCCAGGGUGAGGUUUUGUUUGGGGUUGAGGGCUGGAGGGAGCUGGCCCCACUCCAGUCACACCUGCUAUAAUAAUUUUCCUUUUCACAAGGACAGCCUGGCUAAUGGGAUGAAUUUUGAUGAACCUCCCCAGUGGUCUGGCGUAGUCCCACUUUUUCUGCCUGUAACUGCAGCUAGGGUAACAGGGACAAAUGGGAAAUCUUUUAAAAUCUCGCUGGAAGUUUCUUGUUAUGAUUAACUUGUGUGGGGGGGGGAAACAGGGCUGGGAGGGGGCUUGGUCAUUGCAGCAUUUCCUGAGGGACAUUUCACAAGUUCUGCUCUAACGCAUUUCUUUUUGAUUCUUCCAGAGGUUCUGGCAGAGAGAAUUCAAACAACUGCCAUAGGAAGUGGUUUCGAGCCUUCACAGGACACACAUGUUAAAGUGCCACAGUGGAACCUUGUCCUGGUGUGUGAUGGGAUUCUCAGGUCUCGAGAAGCCCAGUCUUAGAGGCAGGUCCAUCAGUGACUUUCACGGCAAAAAAAUUAAGACUGUAAUCUCCUUGAGGGCCAAGAUUCCUCUUUCUUAACCCCUCCCUACAUGCCCACUGGAAGGCCUGGGAUGGGUUUCCAAGCCUGGCACUGACAUGGAGAAAUAAUGAAACUUUUUAUGUCACACGGUAUACCCUUUCUUCUUUUCUUCAACCUAUCAAAGUGGGAGUUUGGCUUUGAAAAAUCUCCCUCGACUCCCUCUUUUUACAGGAGAGUGAGCAGGCCAAGCAAGGUGAAGUAGCUUACCUACGUGUCCAUGGUGAGCCUGAGGUAGAGCCAGAACAAGGACCCACUUCCCAUUGACCUCUGUCCAUUUCAGAAGGCAGCGUGUUUAAAUAGGAUGCUGGAUUUCUAAAGUUGCAUAAGGGAACAGUUGAAUCUGGAGAAAGGCAGGCCCAAAACAAGGCAAUGCAGGGAACUGUGAAGCAAGGCAAGGGUGGGAAUGGGA